rnacentral:sRNA from 1 species
GCCAGGCAAGGUGGCCCACGCCUGUAAUCCCAGCAGUUUGGGAGGCUGAGGCAGGAGGAUUGCAAGUUGAAAACCAGUCUAAGCAAUUCAGCGAGAUCCUGUCUCUA